UUGGGUGGUACUGUGCUCAACAGUGCAGUCUUCAAAUCAGCAUCUAAUCAACUAGGAAAUUUUAAGCUAAGAAUCAGUUGUUUGUCUUCUUAUUGGUUGGUGCAAUGCCUUACUUGAGAAGAUGAUAGAAUUUGGUUUUCAUUUGUUCAGCUUUCUGAAAGUUUUUCUCCAGUUGGGACUAGAGCUUUUAAAUUCAUGUAUUUAGUUCACGUGGGCCUCUCUGAGAAAAGACUAGGAGCUAUCCUGGUACUUGACAGAGCAAGCUGCAGCCAUUUCCAAAAUAGACCCAUGACUCCCCAAUGCUGAGUCUUUAAGAGAUGCUGGUGGCACCUCAGUGACAACAUAUAUAUUAGAAAUUGUAAAGAACCAUGUGCAGCAGCCAUGAGAGAGGAGUGGGAAAAAAAUGGAAGAGGAACAGCCCUGCAGACCCCCAGAUCAGCAGCAAGGAAGGGGAGGAGGUGCUUCAAGUGCCAAAGCAGGGGUUCCCUUGCAGCCCAAAGACAAGACCUUGUCAAAGCAGGUUGUCAUCCUGGAGCUCAUGGAGGACCAGUCUGGAGCAGAUGUCCACACUGCAGGCCAUGAGGAACCCCAUGCCGAAGCAGGUGCACACAUCCUGAUGAAGGCUGCAGCCCAUGAAGAGCCCAGUCAGGAGCAGGGUCCUGGCAGAGCUGUGACCUGUGGGAGAGCAGCCUGUACAGGACCAGAUGCUCUGGCAGUUGUGGCCCGUGGGGGACCCAUGCUGCAGAAGUCUGUUUCUAAAGGCCUGUGCCCUGUGGAAAGGACCACACUGAAGCAGUUCCUGAAGAACUGUGUUUUCUGUGGGAAGUCCUGGGAAAGACUGUGUUGUGGGGGAGAGAUUGGAUGCUGGAUCAGGAUAAAAGAGUGAGGAGGGAAGAGUGUCAGGGAUGAAGUGUUAUGGUUGAAUUACAAGCCCCAUUCCCCCUCCCGUUUGCUCUGCACAGUGGUGGGGAGGGGUAGGGAAGUUAGUAACAAAGUUAAACCAGCAAAAAAGGAAGGAAGAAUGGUGGGGGGAAGAUGGAUUAAUUUUGGUUUUUGUUUCUCACUGUCUACCUUUUAUUGGCAAUAAAUUAAAUUUAUCUUUCCUAAGUCCAGUCUGUUUUUUGCAUUAUGGUAGCAAGUGAGUGAUCUCCCUGUCUUUAUCUUGAUCCACGAGCUUUUAAUUGUAUUUUCUUCCCUGUCUUACUGAAGAGAGGAAUUGGCAGAGAGCCGACGUUAACCUAUACAUCCAGUUAUUAUGGAUUUUUCAAAGUAAGAUUGAGGGAAGACCUUUAUUCUUGAAGAGCUAUGAAUUGAGGGCGGAUUGGUUACAUAAAGUCUCACAGGAACUUGUGUAAAAAUGGUCUAAAGUAACAGUAGUCAGGAAGAUUUUUCUCCAGUUGAGUGAAUAGUGACCAGAGCUGUGUAAUAAGUAUGGUUCAGAAGUUAAAGAGGAAUAACUUCAACAGAAAAGACUAAAUCUAUAACUUCUUGGUUAUUUUUUCUAUUCCUAACUUGAGGGGCAGGAUUUUUUUCUUAAGGCUUGUGUAUGGCUUCUGUUUAGAUGACUCAGUCUUCCUACCUUGUGUGCUCUAAAGACUUGUGUAUGAAAUACUGUUUGUCCUUCUCUAGUUAUGAAGUUCUCUAAUGACAACUUCAGUUUAGUUACUCCUUUACUAUUAGGAGCAAUUUAUAGAAAUACUGUGUUUCUGUCUGAGAGGGAUUCCAUUGUUUCACUGAAUACAGACAUUUUUAAUUGAAAGUACUUUCAACCAGCAUGUACUUGUCUCCUGUGUCAAAGAUUUCUAAGGGCCUAGUGAAGUAAAAGACAACUUAAUUCAUAGCUAAUAUUACCAUAGCAUAAAGCUUUGAAGAAAAAAAAGCUUCUGGUAAUUCGAUAGCUGUAAUGCUAGUUGUGGAUAUUUCUAUGCUGUUUUUCUUCCUUUUUUGGUCUUGAUUAAGCUGUAGACCGUAGCUUACUGUGAUUUGUGCACACAAAUAAAAAAAUAAAUUUAAGAGCAGGCCAUUAGUGAAAGAUAAAUUGUGGGCUCCAGCUAGAGAGUCAUCUUUUUAGCAGUAUUUUUCCUUGAUUGAUGCACUUUUGAGAUUUGCUUUUUCAAGCUGGGGAAACAACAUCUGACCAUUCCUUCUCUUCUGUGGCUUGUGACAUCUGUUAAAAAAAUGGAAAUGUAAAAGUUUAUUUAUUCUAAUGAUACAAGCAUUCUUUUUCCUUCCUCAAUAAGAUUGAAGCCAUCUUGAAUUUGAGAUCCAUGCUAUUACUUAAAAUUGACUAAAAAGAUCCAAAUCUGUCUGAGUUGGUUCUCUGGAUAUACCAAAGGCUGGACUCUGUAACACAGUUAUGUAGAAAUACAGCACCUACUUCAGUCACUGGAAAUGUGAUUAUUAACUGGGAUUAUUUAUGAGAUGGAUAUCUGUCUUUAGAACUCAUUUUGAGCAGCAGAAGGUUAUACUAUAUUUGGUGUCAUUCAGCUGGUUUAUGUGUUCUGGGAAGUAUACAAGCAGGAUUAAAGUGUAUCUUUGGCUACUGGAGAAUAUAGUGAGUGUGUUUUACCUGCUGAUUAAAAAAUAUAUUAAAAAAAAAAUCUUUUUUAGAAGUUUAGCAAAUUGCCUUAGGCUUUUAGUCCAUUACAACAAAUGCACACAAUUAAUGUGGUAUUUUAUAGAAAUAUUUUUUUUAUCAGUGAUAGCCACCUAAAAUGCUAAAAAUAUUAAGUUCUAGGUCAUAGAUAUAUUUCUGAGGUAGUGCUAUUUGGUUAGUUCUUUAUCUAGAGGAGAGUAACAAGAAAGGGAAUGACUUUCCUAAAGCUAUGAAAAAUUAUAAAAGCAUGGAAAAAAAUUGAUCAAAUUGAAUGCCUAAAAUUGUUAAAUUGAAAUAUAUGGUAAAAGUAAUUUUUUAUGUCUGGAGAAGUAGUUACAAAUAAAUAUACUGGUGAUAACAUAUUUUUUUUUGUUUGGACUCUGUAUAUGGCAGUCAGGAUCAUGCUCAGGGUAGUCUCUGAGUAGUUGUACAGAAAACAUAGGGAGACAAAUGUCUGAAGGAAAAACAGCUGGGUUGCCUUCCUACAUCUUGUUUAUAUUAUGUUGAGUAAAAAUUUUGGAGAUGUAACUUACUUUUUAUAAUGGUAAAUUAAGGAUUGGAGUCUAACUUUAGAGCUAAGACUUUUAUAACCAAAUUACUGAAAGUCAUUUAAUUAAUGAAAAUAAGUAUAACCAUAUAGCUUACAAAUAAGUAAAUCAUGUCUGAUCCUGAACAGCUGGAGAACUGAAGUUUCCUGCAAUGCUUGAAAUUGAUGCAAUGCUCUAGAUCUUUUGGAUUGUUACAGAAAUAAUAAAAAGUCUCCAGAGCAGACAUUUGUAGUGACUUGUUGUCCAAACUUGACACAGGCAGGAACCAUGAAUAUCUGGGAUAUGCAACUUCAGCAUAUCCCAGAAUUUAAAUAAAAGCGACAUCUUGAUGAUUAUGAAGCAGUGGAAGAUACCUCACUGGAGUACCUCUCCUGACUACCUAGAACAGUGAAAAACACAUACAGAUCUUACUUAUAUAGCUAUAAUGAGUUUUCAAACAGUGAAAUAUUUUCUGGAGUGGCUAUACCAGAACAGACUAUAAAUUUAAAUGGAAAAGAUACCAUAUGAUGCAGCAGAUUUUAUAUUGGGAAAACUGUGUUCUGCAGUGGCCCUAGAAGGUUGGACCACUUGUUUCUCCAUUUGCUCUUAUAAAGAGGCUGUGCUUUCUGGAUAUAAAAUAUUUAAAAUAAUUUAUGUAAAUAUUUUGGGAAUAAUCAAAGGAUUUUCCUUUGUAUUUGUUUGGGUUUUUUUUAAAAUAUAUUUCUCAAGAGUUUGCUCCUCCGAUGUCUUUGGUGAUGUCACUGGCUUGUUGCAGUUUUUGCUGCUUGGGAAUGUAUCUUUAAUGGCUGUGUAUGUGCUGCAAGUGCAAUGCCUUUCAUUUUUGAUUAAAAAAAGGUUUUUUUUAUACUAUUUUUUUAAGAUCUAUCCAAACCUAUAUUUCCUAGGUUGUACGAGUAGAUAAAUUCCUCUGUUUCAUAUAGUUGCUACAGUUGGAUUUGAGUUUUGGAAUAUAGUCCUUGGAGUGCUUGGGAGUUGCAUUGAAUUUCAUGUAUAGGUACUCACAUGCAUCAUGCUUUUUUUUUUCCUCCUUUUUUAUCUUGUAUUGUUGAAGCAUGUAAUUAGAAGACUGUAGGCAUACGUGACACCAUGUAAGAAAUUCCUGUAAUUGCUUACAUGUUAGAGAUGUGUAGAUGAACUUGACGAUUGUAAAGAAAGACUUAACUGGAAACCUGCUUCUGAUGUUUGAAAACAGCUUCUGAUGUUUGUGUGUGGAUCAAAGAGAGAGGACUCUGGAAUUCUGUGCUGCUAAGUCUUUUGUUUGGUAAGGUAGACUAGUGGACUGGAUGCUGUAUUUGAACAGUUUUGUUUCCAUGGAAGUGAGUAAAGUCUUCCUGAGAUUCUCCUGUUCAGAAAAAUUUGUAUUGGGGUAUAAUUUGUCAUCUUUAAGCAAGCUAUAGUCUGUGACCUGCAGGUGUAUUAAAUAUUGUUAAUUUGAUAUCUAAAUCUACAGGAAUAACUAUGUAGUCAUUGUUGGUAUCUUUAAGCUCUUUGAAGUCACAGGGCAGUUCAGAUGAGUCCUCUGAUAUCCUUGUAUAUAUCAGCUUUUAGAUUUCUGUAUCUGUCCGUAGCUAUUUUGAAGUAUAUGAGUUUUUCCCUCUGUGGUUUAUAUGUGCACCAAAAAAUGCAUUAAUUACUAGUGGUCUUAUCUUCAAAACUUGUACUGGGCAUGUUUAGAGUUCAUGUCUCAUGUAGCAGCCCAUAUGGUGCUGUUAUGGAUUGGUGACCAGAACAGUGUUGAAAAGACACCAGUGUUUCAUAGUUGUCACUGAAUGGUUCUUGCACAACAUCAAGGUCCACUAUGCUUCUCACUGUGCCAGGCAGUCAGCUGAGGGUAAGCAGGAGGCUGGGGCAAGGCACAGCUGGCACAAUGUGAAUUGAGGAGGGGGAUAUUCCAUAACAUGACAUCAUACUCAGUGGUAAACUUGGGUAGUUGUUUUUCCAAAAUAGACCGUGUUCAGGACUGGAGAGACAUUGGUCUGCUGGUGGGGAAUGACUGCUUUUGCAUAAUUUGUUUUCUUGUUUUUUCCCUUUGUACUUACUAAAUUGCCUUUAUCUCAACCUGCAAGGUCUCCCUCCCCUCUGCUUGUAUGGUUCUUUUCAUUUCUCCAUCCUGCUGUGCAGUGGAAAAGCAACUGAAUGGGGGCUUACCUGGUAUCCAGAGUCAAGCAGUACAAAACUAUGGCUUUGCGUGACAUGAAAAAUGAAAUCUGGAAUCAUUAGCAGGAUUAGUUCCAAAAAUAUCCUGUAUGGUUAUGAAUACCAACCUUUUACUGUACUUGUUUUAGUUUUGGUAGAGGGAUGCUUGAAGUCACUUUAAGCCUAUUUGACAGGUGUUACAGCCCUAGAGGGUUAUUCUUUUCCCCCAUUCUAUUUUCAGAACACAGUGGUGAAUUCUUAGUUAAGAACUUAGUGUUUAAUGAGGUACUCCUUAGCUUUUUUUAAACCAAAACCUGGGUUUUGGAAAAAGAUUCUUUCUGUACUUCUAGCCCUUCAUGGUUAGCAGUUAGAGAAAUUCUGAGAUGAUUUAUGGGUAUUGUUAUUCUCACUGCUUCACAUUGCAUUUUUUUUUUUGGAGUCUGGAAUUGUAGCACCUUAAGAAUAUUAGGUAUUGGAUCAUGAAUUUGGGAUAUAUUCCUGAUUCACAAAAUAUUGUUUGUCUGUCUUUCUUUUGGAUCUUCAUUAGCAAUGUGGUUUAGCUUUAAGCUUUUCAUUUCAAAUCUUGGAAUAGAGAAAAAAUUGUCUAUAUUUAAGAUUGAAAACAUCAAAUUUUUCACUUUUUUUUUUCUUCUUAUCAGAUAUUUUGAGAGCUGGGUUAGUAUCAUAACUGGCCUUAAGACAAUCCAGGAACUUCAUCUUUUCAAAUUCUUUCACUUUUUGUAAUAAAUACAUUUUUAGAUUUCCAAGACACCUUUGAAUAUUUUGAAAUAGAGUUUUACAUAAUUGCCUGGAAAAUACAGAGAAUUGUAUUAGGUAGAAUUCUGUCUUUUUGUAAUAGCAUGUUGUUCAUGGUUUGAUGAUUGUAACGGGUUAGUAGGGGAGUUGAGUGAAUUGACUGAGUCCCAACAAGAUCCCUGGAUGUAUUUAAAAGAUGUGUAGCUAUCACACUUAGGGACAUGGGCAAGGUAAAUUAUUGGACUUCAUGAUCCUGAAGGUCUCUUUCAGUCUAAACAAUUCUCUGAUUUCAUGAUACAAGAGCCGUUUUGACAUGAUUAUGGUGGAGGCUAGCCACAUUAGUUAAUGUAAUUUUCACUGUUCAAAUCUUAGUUAAAAAGAGAGCAAUAGCAUGCUUGUGGAUCAAUAUUUUUUUCAGAUCUUAAACUCACUCAUCUAUGAUUUAAUGGUUUAAAUGGUUUAAAACUUUAUGGUUUUAAAGGGACUAAAACCAUGUGAAGAUCAUUUUAACAGGAAGUUACAGAUUAUUGAUUAGCUCUGACAAUACUAAAUUGAUAAGAUAAAUUUGGUGCUGCCCUGGUGAAUGCAUUUGUUCUUACAUGAGGAACUUAAUUCCUCUUUGAUUCUACUAUGUACCUCUGAAUAUUUGACUUUCCGCUGCAGUGUCUAAGGUCCAGGUCUCUUCCAUAAAUACUAAGUCAAAUUGAGUAGUCACUUCCAUUUGAAAUGCUCAUUUCACAUCUGCAGAUAUUUUUCAUGUUGAUUUGUGAAGAAAGUAUGCUAGUUUUCUUCACAAUUUUCUGAGGCAGAUUGUCACAGUGCAUUGUAUGAGCUAAGUAACACUUUUUUCUGGAGUACUAAGUGCCUAUGGCACCUGAUUUCUUUAUUGGUGAGGGAACUGAGCCUGCUUAGCCGUUUAUAUCCUUGGCAGAGAAAACCUGCUGGCAAAAAUAAUCUGAUCUCAUGUGCUUGGUGGUAGUGUGCUGGAAAUAGAAUACAUGUGCGCAACACAUGGCAAAAAUAGUUAUUACAUGGUAAAGAAUUCUUUUCCAUUUGCUUUUGAAAAGAGUGAAUAAAAGUGACAUAUAGCAGAAGUACUUAGAUGUAUCUGAAUCUAUAACAUUUUCAUCUUAGGACAGUUUCACAUCUACUUUUAUAAAUGGCAUAGAAUUGGACACAAUGCAGUUAUAUAUAUGUAUGUUAAUUGCCACAAAUAUGAAGAUAAACUUUCAAUAAUUAAAAUUUUUUACUCUCGUCUUGGCCUGCAGCUGACACUUGUUUACUUUAAGAAUACCUUUGUUGGAUAUUUACUGCAGUAAAAGGUUUUUUUUUUUUGUAGCAUCUAAAUUAAAUGUGUAGCUCCUGAAAGCUGAAGGAGAAAAAAGCAACUGAAUUUACAUAAAUGGAGUAUGGAGUUGCAUAUAUAUAUGCAUGUGUAACAUCACCAUUAUAACAUGUUCAUGGAGUUAUGUAGGAAAAUGUAGAGACCUGUACAUAGUGAAAAUGGUUUGAAUUUUAUAUGUAGAUUUUUUUUUUUAAUGUGCAAUCUAUGGACAUUUGUUUUGAACAUUUAAAAUUUAUGAAAACAUUAAAAAUGUAUUUUUAAAAGUAGUACAGGUAAUAUGAAAAUGAAGAAAUUCUGAAGUUUCUAUUUUGAUUUUCUCCUUGUAACAUUUUUAGUUUUUUCCUUGUUAAGCACUGAUUCCAUGUGUGUGAUUAAAUAAUGGGAAUACAUGGGUGCUUCUUUUUAUACAGAUUGGGCAACUCUGUUGUUGUCUUGCACCAAAUUUAUAAGACAAGUAAAAUAAAUGCUGUGACUUCUAGUCAGAUCUGUCUGUUGUAACAAAAUGCAGUUCCUCCAAAUGUAUUUAAUGAUAAAAAGUUGCAUUAAUACUGAAGUUGGCUGAGACUGAACUUCUAACACAAUCUGAGGUAUUAGAAAGCAGGCAUUCUUUAUUGCAGGUCUGGACACAUUUGGAGGAUUUUUCCUCUAAUUGAAUGUACGUCAUGAAACUUUACAACAGGGUAUUUAUUCCAUCGUGAUCAUACAUAUUCAUUACAGCAUACUUCCUAGGUAAUCCAUAAACAUCACUUUUCCUAGAACUAAUUUGCAUAUUUUAGCAUCCUACUGGAAGUCCUUUUAUGAUCGUAGAGGCUUGUCCAUAGGAAUCUCUGGUGGUUAUAUUCGCUGGGUGCCCCCAAUGUUGCAAUGACUUUGCAGUGAACUUCUCUUAGGUCAUGCGCAGUUGUUUCUGGUUACAUAACUUUGCCACAAAAACCACUUCUGUUCCUCAUUAUCUGUUUAUCCACUGGGUUUCAGCUACUAGUUUAGUGUUCUGUAUGUCUGCUUCUACAUUCUUUUAUCUAAUUUCUUAGUUAGAAUUAAGCUUUAUUUUGCAACUUCAAGGAAAUGAAAAUUUCUAUUCUCUGUUGUCUGUCAGCAUGUAGAUAAUUAGUUGUCUACAAUUUCCCUCAGCGUCUUCCAAUCUAAUGUAUGUAGUUCAUAUUAAUAGUGAAGCAUCAGGGUUUUGUAGGAUAUAAGAAAAUUAGAUCUAAAGUAAUAUUUUUUUUAUAUUUUAAGAUUUCUUUGUGGGGUUCUUGCCACCAGCUUGAACUUACUGAAUGCAUAUGGAUGGACAUAGUUUUUACAUAAUUGAGCUCUGGAUGCAAAUAUCACCCAUCUGUAUAAUUUCUUAAAUCCCUCCAGACAGCAAGUAAUAUUCCCAUGUUGGAUCUCCUUUUCUUUUCCUUUCUUUCUCUAAAGUAAUUUGCUGACAAGUCUAUUGGAUGGUCUUUCAUAAAUAGAAGAGAUAAAUAUCUGUGAAGUAUUUUAAAAUAACAAGUCCUUAGAAAAUAUAAUUCAGCUUGUAAUAUUGGUGCUGAAAAUAUAUUCAGUGGAUGGGAAAUUUUGCUAUUUGCAAGCUGUUUGAUUUACUUUUCUGAGUCAGUUUGAAGCCUUUGGGGACACUGGGAGUAAGGGGAAGUACUGCUUGUGAACUGCUUAACUUGGUAUACUGACAAAUAGAAUUGCAGCUGCAGUUUUUAUGUCUGAGUUUUGUGUGAACAAAGGGUAAUUAAGAGAUGUUCCUUGUCAUGUCUCAAAUACUUACUUGUCCUUAGUUUCAUGCAGAAGAACGCAUUUUACUGUGUAGAAUGGGAAGACUUAAGUGCUGCUCUAGUAUUAAUUUGAGUCAGAGAUGUUUCUGCAGGAAUGCCAGCAAUUUGAAUGUUUUUUUUUUUUUUUUAAAGUCUAGGAUUUAAGUUUUCUGAAUAGAACUAGAGUGGCUGAAUUUGAGCUCUAUAUCUUUAACCCAGACGGUGCUUCUUCUCCCAUUUGAGUUUUCCCACAAAAAUCUGUGUUCUUCUUACCUAGUGUAGCUUGAAAAGGUUUGUAUUCAAACUCAGCUUUCACCUCAUGCAGUCUUUCUGAGGCCAUUACUUCAAGUCUUUCUUCAAGUUUCUUUGCAGUCUGAUGUGUGCAGAGAAUGGUUAUUUUGUAAUUUGGGGACAACAGUUUGGGGAUGACAGAAUGUGAUUAUUGUUGCAGAUAUUCUUUAGAAGGUUUCUUUAUUUUCAUGUACCAUAUGUAUUAUUUACCAGCUUCUUUAAAUGUUCCACUGAAAGUGUCACUUGCUGCAUAGCAGCAGACAAUUCAGUGUCAUUGAAUGACAUGACCUGUGGGAAGUUUUGUGGGAAGUUUACAGCUAAUAUACCAUCAUGACUAAUACAGAGCACUGGGAAAAAAAAAAAUACACAGGGUAAUGCCUGUGAAAUCAAGGGAAGGAAUGAAAAGUAGUGAAAAUGAAGAAAAAUAAUUUCACUCAUGUCUUUAUCUGUAUUCAAAUGAUCUAGCAGUUCAAACUAUAGUUUUUAUCAGGAAAAGAUCCUUCUUUCUUAAAUUUCAUAAAUAUUCAUUUAUGUUAGAAUACUGACUUUAGGACUUCUUUAGAAGAAAUUUUUUCUGUUCCACACGGCACACUUCCUCCUUCUCUGUUUUCAGCUCGUAAAACUGGGUGUGCUGUUAGUAAACUAUUUUUGUACUUAUUGCUAAUAAAAAAAGAUAAACCCAUCAGUAUCGAUUCCUUUUAAUGUUAAAACCCCAUAUCUGCCAUGCUCAGAUGUACAGUAUAUGCAAAAUAUUUGAGUCAGUCAUCUGUGAUAGUGCUAAGAAAUGUCUUUCUGUUGAUUACUGAAUUUACUAGAAAUCAAAGUGGAGCAAACAGGUUGCUGAGAAUUUUGGAUGUGUUCAUCAUUUUUUUUUGAGUUUAAAGACUUAGUAGUAUUUACUAAGAAUAUUUGGUCUGAAUAUUAAUUUAAGGUUUGAGAAGAAAGAUUAAGAGUCUCACCAUUAGCAAGUUUUGGGAAUGUUUUCUUGUGAAUCAGAUGGUAGAAAACUGUGUGUCAGUUGUUAUUACAGGGAUUAGAUGUUAGCAGACUACUGCAAUUUAUACGAAUUAGAUGUGGUACUACAUCAAUGCUAUUUUUUUCAGUGGUAGUGUUAGAAUUGCCAUAUAUGAUUUUCUAUUAAAUAAAUUAGUUCAAUUUUUUGGUUUAAAAAAACAACUUUGGUGCUGAUCUCUUCAGAGGAUUUUGUUUUCGAAGAUGUAGUAUUAAUAGAAAUCACAAGUAAUAAUUACACCAUUAAUUUGAAGGUAAAGAGUAGGGUAAAAAUACAGCUGUUAUGGUUGUCUAGCUUGAACUUUGCUAUUCUGAAUUCAGUUCAGAAUUUAAACUGAAUUUGAACUGAAACUUUGCUAUUUAAAAAUUCAGUUUUGUUUAAUAUAGAAGUUCACCUAGUGAAGGCUGAAUUUGAAAAUGAAAAGUUGUUUGGGGAAGUUGAAGUUGAAUUUUCAGACUACCACAAUGUCUAAAGAAGUAGUACUUCUGUAAUGCUUGUUGUGGAAAUAAUGUAGAAAUACAAGUGUUGUAGGAAAAAGCUUUACUUUUUUUUUUUUUUUUUUUUAAGAAAAAGCUCCGUGAUGCAUGAUUGCAACAUGCAUUGUUUUUUAUUAAAUGCUGAUAUUUAUCUUUACCAUUAUGUGAGUUGUAAACACAUGAUCUUGUCCUGUAGCUGGGAUAUUUUAUAAGAUACUACUCUAAGCUUGAAGCACACCAGUUUGUCAUGAUUUGGUUGUUUUCAAGGCCCAUGGUUGGGGCUCCUAGCAACUUACCAGUUGAUGUUCACUACUGCUACCACCAUUUGCUCUUUCUGGAUCUUCUCCAUUGAUUCUGUACCAUCUGAGAAUCAAAACUUAUGCGACCUUUGUGCUGGUCUUCUGGUAGUCCUGAUUUAUUGGCCUGCCUGACAGAAACCAGAACUGAGACUUAGUACAGAAUCAAAAAUAAUGUCUUAAUUUACUAUUUGGAAACAUGUAACUGUCCUGUUAUCGUACUUUUCCACCAGUACUGGUGUUGUGGUUCAAACCCCAGCUAGGAGCUAAGCACAACUGCUUGCUUGUGCUCUCACCAGUGGAAAAAAAAGAGUGAAUUGGAAGAGUAAAAGGUAGAAAACCUAUGGACUUAAAUAAAGAGAGUUUAAAUGGGAAAUCAAAAGAAACACAAGAAAACUAAAACAAGGCAUUCAUUCACCACUUCUCAUGGACUGGCAGGUGUUCAGCCUUCGGCAGGAGAGCAGAGCCAUAUCAAGUGUGACAGUGACUUAGAAAGAAAAAUGUCAUCACUCCAAAUGUUCUUCCUUUCCUCCUUCCACCACAGCAUAUAUCCUGAGCAUGAUGUCAUAUGGUCUGGAAUAUCCCCUUGGUCAGUUGUAGUCACCUGUCCUGUCUGUGUUCCAUCCCAGUUUCUGAUGCACCCUCAGUCUCCUCACCAGCAUAGCAGUAUGAAAAGCAGAAAAGGCCUUGGCUCUGUGCAAGCCCUGCUCAGCAAUAACAAGAACAUCUCUGUAUUAUCAACUAUGUGCUCAGCACAAAUCCAAAACGCAGCCCCAUUCCAGCUGAAAAGAAAAGAAAUUAACUCUACCCCAGCCAAAAGCAGCACAACUGGUCUUUUUCAUGUUUCAUGGAGGAAACUUUAGGAAGUCCUGUUGUAGUAAGAACUGUAAGAGAAUAGGGACUGGAUGAUGAAAGUUUCACAGAGAAAGCUGAUUGGUGUUUGGAAAAAAAUUGACUUUAUUUUUAAGAGAUGAGGUUUGUGUCUUUAUAAUGAUUCUUUUUUUCCUUGCUUCUGCAAAGGAAGAUGAGAUCAGGAAAUAUGUGUGAGGUGUAAACUGUCUUUUUUUUUUUUUUUUUUUUUUUUUUUUUCAGCUGAAGAGGUUAGCAGGAGGAAUAUUGCUGUAUGUGUCUAAAUUUAGAGCUGGAUGCACAGGAUGGAAAAAUAGCUAGCUGACUUUAAUCUGUGGCUGAUCUUAAUUUGCAUAGGUGUUGGAAGAAGAUUGUCGACCCUUUAAAUAUGCAAUUAGGUGUUUAUAUUCAGGACUCCUGGAUUUUAGGUGGAAUCCUGUGUGAAAUAUCACCUCAGCCUUUCAGAAAGCCUCAAAAUUCAAGAGUUUAAAGGAAAAAAAAAAUAGACGACCCCUCCUCCUCAAUCUCUGAAGCUGUACCUUUGAAAUAUCCUAUUUAAGAGAACUGAUACAGCAGAUAGUGCUUUAAAUAUGCUGAUCUACAUGUAAAUUAUUGCAAGAUAUGUAAGAUAACUUACAGUGGAGCUAUAGUGCUGCCAUUUUACCACAGGGAAUGUUUAGGACUGGCAUCUUGCCACAGGCUUAAAUAUAUAGGAGUUGCAGACGUUUUGUUUGUUUUUCACAGUUGGAUGGUUCUCAGGAAUGUUUCUAUAACACAGAGGGCAUAUAUGCAAAAACUGCAGAUAUCAUAAUAAAUUAUGAUAGCCAAUCUUACAUGGAAGAAUAUCAAUAUCCACUUUGGCUUAAAAAUCAUAUAUCUGCAUUUAGAUAACUUCAGGAAUAUAAUGAAAAAAAUGGGUUUUAUUAAUUUAAAUUGCUUUCUUAUGGAAAUAUAUGUGGCAGCCUUCAUGCCAAACUGUUUUUCUGUCCACUAAAAUACUGCAGUGAGCAUCUUUCCCAUUUUGUUUUGAAAUUUACAAUACAACUUGCUUUUUUAUUAUCAUUAUAUGUAAAUGCAUUUUCCUUUGUAUGCAGUUCAAGUGAUGUUUACAAAAAUUUGUGUCUGUACAGGUGUGCAGCAGGAUUGGUGGUUGUUCUUAAGUAAAGCAAAUGGCUACAACUGAAAGGAGGUGUUUACUCUUAAGUUAUGAAAGGGCUUUCUCUUAAGUUAUGAAAAAUACUUUAACCAUAUAUUGUGAACUAAUUUCUUAGAUAAAGUGAUAUUUAAGAGGCAAUUAUGAAAAAUAUGUUAUAAUCUCCUUAGUAUGUUUGUGUAACAGUACCAAAGGCUGAGACAUAACCCAAUUAGAUAGGCAUAGGGCCAAGGGCUGUGUUUUCAGCCAGCGACUGUUUGUUUAUAGCUUUUUGGCACUUCAGAACCUGAUCUUAGUAUAUGAAUUCACUGUUAAAGCUGAAUCUUGUGUUACUGUCUGGUUUUGCUUUUUUGGUUCCAUAUGUGUUGCAUACUCAAAUAUCUUCCUAGUGCCCAUGAACAUACGUGCCCUUACUUAUAUUAGUUUCAAAUAAUUUUGGAUCUUUGCUAGUUGCUGACUUUCUAAGAAUUUUGUGCAUGUGGAAAAUUGAGUUCCACAUACUUCUAUGUAACUUUUGAAGUUCUCCAUUCCAUUUCCUAUGAGAUUUUAAGCACUUGCUUAAUAUUCUGUGGUGUAUUACUGAUUUCUUUGCCAUUGUGUUUUUUGUCUCCUACCUUUGUUGGAAUCAUUACGUGUUUUUUGUUAUUUUUCUUCUUAGUAGCUGUUGCAGUGCUGUUGUUUGGAUUCAGUAUGAGAAUAAUGUUGACAACUCACCGAUGUUUUGGUUGUUGCUAAGUAGUGCUUACCCUAAGCCAAAGGCUUUGCAGGUGCACAAGAAGCUGAGAGGGAUCACAGCCAGGACAGCUGACCCAAACUGGCUAAAGGGAUAUUUCCUACCAUGGGAUAUCAUGCCCAGUUUAUAAACUGGGAGCAUUUGGCUGAGCACUGCUGAUUGCUGUAGGGAGGCAGGUGGGGCGAGUAGUGCCUAUUAUACAUCAUGUGGCUUUUUUCCUUGGCUUUCAUUUUUCUCUCUCUGUUUUGUUAUAUCGGUUGCUGCUGUUGUUGUCAUUAUGAAAAUGAUUAUUCAUAUUUUACUCUCAUUAUUAAAUCGUUCUUAUCUCAACUCUUUUCCUGAUUCUCAUUCCCAUCACACUGACAUGGGAGGUGGAAUGAGUGCGUGGCUGUAUGGAAUACUUAGGUGCCAACUUGGUUUAAACCACAACAGAAAUGCACUAAAAUGUAGAGACCCAAGUCACAUUUGCUACAUAGAAGUGGUGUUCAUGUCUGUUUAACUUCAAAUUAAGAAAUAAAUAUAAAGGAAAAAUUAAGUAUGAGAACAUGUGAGAGUUUGAAGAAAUUUAGAAUAAAUGUUGUGAGAUUCUUUCCUCAUUAAAAAGUUUCAAGGUACUCUGCAGCAAUGUGAAUCUUAUUUUUUAAUCAAUCCUUAAGGAAUUAGAAAACAAAACAAAACCAAACAAAAAGUUAUGCAAAGCCAGGUCUUAACAAUACAUUAUUAUUUUACAGAUUGUUGUUUGAGGAAAUGAUAUUUUGAUAUAAAUUUUACAUGUUACAUGCACAUUUGAUUUCAAAUCUAAAUAUAAGAUCUCAGAGCACAGAAAAUGUAGAGUAAGUUGUACUGCUUUGUAAGAUCUUCCUUUUCAGUAGUACUCCUAAAAGAAGCUGAUCCUCAGAAGCAAGUUGCUAGGAGUUCUUUUUUUGGUAGAUAUUUUAGUAUGUUUUUUCACUUUUUGUCCUUAACUUUCAGAUCUCUCUGAAAAGAUAUUUCAUUUCUUAAUAUUCUGAGAUAGUAAGUGAUUUAAAAGUAUUGGGAGAGUCAGUUUGAAUCUAAAAUCUUGAAAAUAUUUAGGAAUACAAUAUAGAAUACUCAGUACGUUCUAAGUUUUUUUAGUGCACUCUUUCCCUUUUAAACACUUAGAUUUCAAUAUUCAUUUUUAUUGUGAAAAAAAAUCUUAUAUUCUAAUCUCUUGAAUAUCCUUUUUAUAUUUUUGGAUUUUUAUAUUUAUAUGUUUAUACCUUGGAAAAUGGGACAGACUUCCAAAGUGCUCAGUUAUGUAGAAAUAUGUUUAGGAUGGGAGAAGCUCAGAUGGAGUUUGAACUGGCAGGUGACGAGAGUAACAAAAAAACCUGUAGGUAUGUUAGUACUAAACAUAAGAUCAAGGAAGAUGUAGGUCUACUGCUGCAUGGGUCUGACAGCUUAAUUAUGGACAACACAGUAAAGGUAGAAGUAUUCAAUUUUCUCUUUGCCUUCGUCUGCAUGGGAAAGUUCAGGUCCCAAGUUUCUAUGCCAAGAAGGAGCAGCAAAGUUAACAGCAAAACACUGUUAGAGUAGGACUAAGUAAAGAUCCAGCUGUAGCAGUUGGACACAUACAUAUGAACAGGAUUUGGUGGGAUGCAUCUGAAUUGGUCAACCAUCUAUCUUAUUUGAAAGGUCAUUGAAGGCUUAAGUGUCUGGAAAGUCAAAUAUUCUACCCAUCUACAGAAGUGAAAAUUUGGGAAAAUGCAAAGCUUUCAGUCUCACUACAUUUUUGGGGAAAGUUGUGGAACAAGUGUUUGUGGAAGUUUUUUCCAAGAAUGUGAAAAACAAGAAAGAAAAUGGCUGGGAAAACUGAGCUCAGAUUUAUUAAGGGUGAAUUGUACUUUACAAGCAUGAUGCUUUCUGUUGAAACCACUUUUUCUGUGGAUGAAAGAAGAGUUAUAGAUGCUCUGUACCUUGAAUUUAAAAAGGCACUUGACAUGUUCACCCCAGCAUUCCUGUAGACAAGUUGGUAAGUUACAAUUUAGACGUAUGGAUUUUGAAAGGUGUCGCGUCUCUAGAGAUCAUAGGGCAGUGUGAUGUUAGUGGCUGAAAGUCAAAAUAUUCGUGGUCCUUGAAGUGGAGUUCCUUGAAAGUUGGUGCUGGGUCUGGUAGUGCGAUUCAGUAUAUUUGUAAAUAUUUUAAUGAUAGGACUGAACCAUCCCUGAGUUUGCAGAUGACUUUAAAGUGGAAGGAGAGGGAGACGUCUGGGAAGGAGGAGCCACCAUUUGUUCUGAGAAACCUUGAGAGGCUGAAAAAUUGGACCAACAAGAAUUGCAUGAAUUUUAACAAAAAUAAAUAGGAACGGCAUCUCAAAUGGAAUAAACUUAGUGUCAGAAUAGCUGGGAACACAUUGGCUGAGGUAUAGCUCUGCUGCAAAGCACUUGUGGGUUCUAGGGGACAGCAAACUUAAUAUGAGCUAGUGGUAGAAUACGGUGUAAAAGAAGGCAAACAGUGUCAUGGACUGCAUCAGGAAGAGAAUCAUUGGAUCAAGGCAUGUGCUUAUUCUGCUCAGCACUUCAUUAGCCAGCAUAACAUGAUUAGAGGUUUGGAGGUUGUUGAAAGUGGAGACAUAACUGGUCUUCCUGUGCCAGGAAUAUUCAGAGAAAGAUACUGUAUUUAUAAUGGUUUAUACAAUGACAGAAAAGGCAGUGGGCACAGGUUGCUCUAGGGGAAUACCAUCCAAAUAAAAAGAAAGUCAGUGUGAGAUUAAUUAAGAAUUAAUCAUAUGAAUCAUACAAAUAGCUUUCCCAGGGAAGUGGUGGAAUCUCUCUUGCCAACAUUAUUAAAGACUUGGAAGGAGCCCGAUGCAGAGCUCUGAACCAAUUGCGGCCACGCCAAGAGCGACAGUCCUGGGGGGGCCCCGAGCAGCCAGCCCCGUGCUGGGAGCAGGGCAUGGGGCAUGGACAGUGCAGCUGUGGGGAGUGGUGGGUGGCUCCUUCCUGGCUGCUGCAGCCCCACUGUGGCCUGCUCACCUCUGGUGGUGUGGGUGCUCAGCGUGCAGGGCAGACCCGGAAUUGGAUAACGAGUUGGGACUCAUUGAGGAAGGCUCCUUUGGUGAUGUCUUCCAAAGAAUUGAUAAUCAGACACAGCAAGACAAGUGAUUACCAUAAAAAUUCAUAGCCAGGAAGUUCCCAGCAUUAGAAAAAUGCAAAAACAACCGACAGCUUGCUCAGCUAAAUUUUGAAAUUCCUGCCAUUAGGGAAUUUAAGGACCAUGUCUGUGAGUUGUUAAAUAUUAUUGAUGUUUGCCAAAUCUUCUUUGAUACUGGUUUAAACUCUGAACUAACAAAAAUUACCUAGACUUUUACCUACACAACUCUAAUGAAAAUCUGCUUUAGUAAAUUAGAAAUUAUUUUGCAGCAUUUAGCUAUGCAUGGAAGUGACUUCUGAAGAUCCUGGUGUUUAAUUCUGCUAAUUAGUUUUAAGCUUUACCCACAUAGAAAUAAGCUAAUGUUUUUUAAGGGUGCCAUUUUGGAAUUGGUGUAAGACUAUGUCAGCUGCAGAUUCUUGAGAGGGAUGUUGUUAAGUAUAUUGAUGACACAUUUGCAAAAUUUAGUAACAUAUGACAAAAUUGAAAUCAAAAUCUGAACAUCAUCUUGUUUUUUAAAUGUGUAUUUUUGCUAAGGUUUAAACUCAAUGCCUGGCACAUACUGGGAUCCAGCCAUAAAGUAUUUAAUGUUACUUGUGUGCACUCCUUUGAUUAUUCAUAACUUAUUUAUGUUAGAAGACUUUUUCAGUAGAUAUUAAUAGAGGUUUGUUUUUAAGAUAUGUUAGGGAAAACCUCCCAGCCAAGGUCUUGGGUCUGGCCAAGCUGUGACCCUGCCUGGCAAGGGAAAUAUACCAUCAAACCCCCCAGGUGUUUCUUUCCUAAAAAAUGAAAUCAAGUAUUUUGAAUUGUAAUUUUGAUCUUAUAAAAACUGGACCCCCUUUUUCAAGGGAGACUUGGAGACCUUCCCCAGGAGGGUCUUUCCAAGUCCUUGCUAGGAGAAGGGACUAUGUCCCCAACUACGGCAGACCCUGGGUGGUGGUAAACAUUUAGGAAGUUGUAGGUAUUUUUGUUCAAUGAUGCUUAUUAUUUUGCUGAAUGUGUUGUUUUACUGUCCAUAAUGGGAUUGGUGCGUAUUAUCCUGAACACCCUACUGAAUUUAAUAGGUUGAAUUAUAUUAAUAUCAUAAUUAUUAAGGCUGAGAACAGACGUGGGUACUGAUAACCUGAAAACAUUUAAGUGGUGCAAUGUACAAAUAUGUGUUAUGAUUGAACUAGUGUUCACUAGUCAAGGUCUGCAUUUUAAAUGACUAUUAAAAAACCUGUUGUACUCCAGCCUGACAGCCAGCAUUCAUCUUGUGUGUAAGUUUAAGACUUCUUAAAGGAUUAUCAAAAAAUACCGUAAUCCAGUGAAUUUUUUAUCAGUGAGGCUGACUAACAGAAUUUUAACCAAAAGUCACAUGUAUUAAUCUCAGUAGCCCAAACUAUUUAUUGUGAGCUGCUAUCACUAACUCACCUGGACCAGACUAUGCAGGUGAACAUGCUUGAAACAGCUGCCUUGACACUGUUACCUGUGAGGAGCAUCUCCUUACCUAUAACAGUGAAGCUGAACUGAAUUUUAACAGUAGUUACCUUAAUUGUCAAAGAACUAAAACAUCAAUGGAGUUCUGAUACGUGAACUAUUUUCUCCUUGAUUACAGUGGACAGCAUUAACUAUUUCUUUUCUUUGGUAGACUGACUGUCCAUGACAAUCCAUGCCAUCAGCAGUGAGUCUCUCAGCCUCAGCAAGUUCAGGAUGUUAUCAGGAAUUGUGGAAAAGUUUGCCCAUUGCUUCACUUGAACCUGAAGAGUCAAACUAUUGAAGGACAAGACUAAGGAUAUAUGCCCUUGAUAUGACAAUUUGCCUUUAACUUCCUUUAACUUCAAGAAUUGGACAUUUAAAGGACAGGACUGAUAGAAGGAUAUGUAUUUUAUAGUGGAAACAAUACAUAGACACAUUACCCCUUAUAGUUUUUUGAAUUUUAUCUCUUACAGUUUUUUGAAUGUUAUAUCUGACAGUUGAGUUGACUUGUUUGUAACUUUCUUAAGUUUGUGUAAUUAGGUCAUAGAUGUAAAUAGCCUGCAGCAUACCACACUGUGAAGCUUUGCUUGAUGGCUUCUGGACAUGCUUGUAAAAUCUCUUGAAGGUAUGUGGGAUAAACCAAUGGCUGGUAAGGCUAGACUUGUUGUGUUGGGUAAAGAUCUUCAUUCAGCCUAGGCUUAUUAUUUAUGUCAUCAUCAUUAUUCUGUGCAUUGUGCCACAUUUGUUGUCCUGUCUGCAACAGCUCUGCAGAGGAAGACAGACACUGCCUUUGUAUUUAAAAACAAAAAGGGGGAACUCUAGUGGCUAACCGCUGGCCUGGAGGCCCUACAGUUAUAGAUAACCCUGAUUAUAUAAUUCAACCCAUCUAGGCCAUUAGGGACCCAGUUUAGGCUGUUGGGGAUGCAGACAGCUAUUGGCUGGUAAGCUGAGUGGCAACUAAAUUCAGACAAUCAGGGGCAACUGUGUGGGCUUUUGAAAACUAUGUAAAGGGAACUCAAUAAAAGUUGGCUGUUACUGCAUGAACCUCUAGUGUCAUGUCAUGUGUCCAUCUCUACUGCAAUGUAUCAUGAGGUACCAUAGUUCUAAAAUUGGGAGCUAAGUUGUCAUAAACAGAUUUCAGGGUAAAAGUUUUAGAUCUGAAGUUCUUUGCAACUUUGGAGAAAAAGAAAUGUGGAUAACUCUUUCUCAUUUUAAAUGUAAGUUGACUAUAAUGUUGUCCUCAGAUGUAUGUACAGCUUCCUCUUGAGGUUUUCUUAACCUUGUAGAAGUUUAUUGGUGUUCUGCUAAUGAUUUCUUGGAUUUCUUGGAAUGGCUUCUCUAGAUGCACAUGUCUGCUUUUAAAUAAAGAUAUUUUCAUAUACCUUAAUGGAUUUGUUUUUCAGUGGUUUUAAGUUAAUCUAUAAUGUAUGUCAAAGUUGGCCCUUUGCCCUCAGUAUUUUAUUUAGUUCAGUGUAUGUGGAGAAGGAUGAAUGUUACUUCACAGUCUGCUUAAAUGCAUUGUGUGGGAAUAAGAUAUGGGUCCAUAGGAAUUCAUAGUAUUUUAAUUGGUGAGGUAAUGUGUGUUUUGUACUUCUAGCUGAAAGCAUUGUAAGUUUCCUUCAUAAAUUCUUUAACUUGUUUGAGUGGAUUGGUGGUACCUUUGUGUUUUGGUGUUUGCAGUGUUCUCAGCUCUUGCUGACAAGAUACAGAAUAAUAGGAUAUAGUAUGGAAUAGAGUAUCUUCUGAUAGUCCCCUGUGUCACCUCCUUAGUAAAAUUUUGGUGUGUUGACAGAACUGGUUGAUCUGUGGCAAGAUCAAAGGGCAAGCUCACAGUAACAUUGCUGCACUAAGAAUUUAAUACUUUAUUCUACCUAAAAUGCCUGUGCAUGUGUCACUUCCUUUUGUCUUCUCAGACAAAAGACACCUUUAGACACUUGAGAGAAUAACUUCACUGUUAAUUUUAAUUUUGGUGUGCCAGCUUUCUAAAAGACCUACUUUUUAAUACAAAGUAUUUAUUGAAUAAAGGUUUUGAUUUAGAGAUUUUGGGGUGUGUUUUGUAUGUUGCAUAAAAUAGUCUGUGCAAGAAGAUUUCUUGGCAUUUAUAUUAUUUGGAAAGUGAGGCGCUUAUAGUUGGAAUAUAUUUUACAAACACAGCAUACUGCUUUUCAACAGUAUAUAAAUUCUGAUUAGCAAGUUUGUAAAAAUAUCCAAAUAAGGCAGAAGGCAUGGGGUCAGAGUAAUCACUAUAAAAGUUGGUUUCCUUUGGUGUGUUCUCUAAGUUAAAAGCCAUCCUUGUCAUAUGUGUAGGUGGAAAAUUCUGGUGAAUAACAGCAGUAUCGCUAUCUUGCUGGACUGCCCUUGGCUUUCUCAAAUAAACAUUUUCUCUGGCAUCAUUAUGAAGUGGAAGUCAGGCACCUGCUGCAAUAAUUCUCUCAGCUGACAGUGUAUUACAGCCCACCAUUGAAUAGCUGAAUAUUUGAAACCAUGCAAAAGAGAGUUACUAUGACAGGGUUUUCAUAUUUAGGGAAAGUAAGGUAACAAAGGGAAACAAACUAACUUUCCUAUUUUCUUCUGAUAUAGGAGGAGGAAAAUGAGAAAGUGAUAGCUCAAAAUCCAACAGAGAUUUUAUUUUGGAUUGACCAACCUCAAUACAAGUGUAGGUAGUUAAAACAGCAUGCAUCUUCCUUACAUCAGUUUCAAGAAUUGAUCUGGAAAGACCAGAUCACAGCUGACUGCUGAACAACGCCUGUACUGUAGUUUUCAAACACAACUUUUCAUUGGAAGUCAUCAGGAAAGUUCUCUUCUACCAGUUUGCUGUGUAAAUUUUGAAGUGAUACUUCUGUGAAUUAAAUUGAUUCAGGAAGAGUUUAUUCACAAGUGGAGAAUACCUGAUGGAAUGCUAAUAUAGCUGAUGGAGGGAGCGGCUGAUGGUACUGUCAGUGUAGUCUUUCACUGUGGCACUUCUCUUUUAUCCUGCAGUAGCAGCUAGUAAUUUGAAAAUGGCAUUUCACAGUCUUUAAAAUGUUGUUCAUAAAAUGCUGGGAGCAGUGAGGUGAGAGCUGGGUAGCAUAACUCCUAAAAUCACAGCUUCUGUUACUGUUUUGAGUGGAUGGAAAUCAAUGAUUGGGACAAAGCAUUGAGAUAUCAGGAAGCUUAAUGUGGAGAAAACAAUUCCUGCUCCAGUACAAACCGGAUGGAUGUGGGGACAUAAUUACAGUGUACCAUCAAAACUGCAACAGUUCAUAUGCCUCCACUCCCUAGUAGCUUGGGUUUGCCUUUUUCCUUCUCGGGUAGGAGGUCUUAGAGGGUUCUGUGUUCAGUGUGGCAGGAAGGAAUGGGCCCGCAGUAAAGUCCCUGGAGUGUGCUGGGAGUGGAUUUGGGGGAGCAGAUAGGUCAAACUGUCCACACAUUUCAGCUGCGGCCUGUAGAAAAAUUGCAGUUUUGUUGUGUCAGACUUUUUGUGGUUUGAAAACCUUAGCUACUUUGUUGCUCUCAGCAGUUAAGCAAAGACUAUUUUCAGCUACUUUGAAGUAGAAAACCUGGGGUGAGGGGAGGGGACUUUGGUUUUAGUAGCUGAGAGAGCAGAACUCUCUGGUUCCACUUGCAUUCUCCUUCAUAGCUAUAGCUUCAGAAACUAAACCUUUUCUACUUCUGACUUAAAAACAGAUUUUGAAGAAAUAUGUGAACAGUUCUUUGCUAUGUGGGUCAGAAUUCAUCAAUAAUUCUUUGAGCAGACAAAUCUUAUAACAGGAACAAAAGUGUUAAGUUGGUGGCAGUUCCAUCUCCUGUGACCCAGAGGAUGCCAAGACAUAUGUUCUUUUGGAGUGCAGUGAAUGGCUUCUGACUAAAAUUCUUCUAACUGAAAAAGCUUCAGUUACUAUUUCUAUUCUUUGGAGAGCUAAAAUAGAAAAAGGGCUACCAAAAGGACUCUUUCCAUUUCCUUGACAUUUGUGAGGGAUAAACACAUAAAAAAAAGAAAUGUUAGUUUACAGAAGUUGGUUACAGCACUAAGAUCAGCUGUAUUCUUGAAAUUUAUUUACAGUAGACCAUAUUGAUAAUUUUAAAUUAGCAGCUAUAUUUUAAUCCAUUCCUAAACAAGGUUUUUGUUAAAUAUUUCAUCAAUUUACGUAAAUGUCUCCAAGAAAAUGUAUAUUCUAACUGAAGGAAGAAGUCUACAAUGUAUUUUUUGUUUGAGAAGAGUUGGAUUCUUUUGGUUGAGUCCAUUUUUCUAUGCAAUAUUCUAGUCUGAAUAAAUCAAACCCUAAAAAUGGCUUUAAUCUUAUGUUGACAGAAGAUUUUGUUUGCAGUAAUACUAGAUAUUUUCUUUAAAAUGUUUUUCAAGGGAAUGCCCAGUGAGCAUGAUUUCAGUGUGUGGAAGUUUUGAGUCAGAUUGCACAGCCAAAGAUUUUUUUGUACAUAAAGCAUACGGUUUCUUAGAUAGGCAGUGAUUUGAACAGAGUUGAUGACGCUAGAUCCAGACUUUAACUGGUAUCAAGUGAAUGAUAUUUUUUCAUUUGCAUCCUUGCUGAUGUGACUUCUAAAGCAAUUUACCAUUUAGCUUCUUAAACAUGACAUUUCAAAAGCUCCUUUUAGCUCCAGAAUUCUAUAUGUAAAUGGAUUUGUGAAAGGUGCUUGCAGUUUUAUUAGAUUUGGAGUUCUAUCCAGGUUUAUGGGUGCAAAUUUUGUUUGCUUUUUGGGUUCCUGGCAAAAUUUCUUUAUGCAUUGAUUGUGAAUUACUAAGGUAGCAGUUGCAAUUUUUCUGCAGUGCAAGCUUGACUUAAGUAAUUCCUGUUUCGUACUGUCUGAUCAAGUGGCCUGUCCUACUGUCUCAGUUGGGGCACAUUCUAGAAGGUUACUUGGAAGUUUUUUGUGAAGUGCCUUGUAGUGUAAAUUAGGCUUAAUGUUACUUAGCAGGAAAUAUGUAAAUGCAGCCAGGACUGAUGCUUCAUUGUUCUUAUAUUGACAUAUAUAGAAGGAGAGGAGAAGUCACAGUUGAAAGAGGAGCUGUGCUUUGACAGAAGAAGAAGGAAAGAGGUAGAGCUGCAUUAUUAGACAUGGUACUUUAAAGCAACAACUGGAUGUCCAUCAGAACAUGUUAGAUUGAGAUACUGAUUUUCACAGAGCUAGUCUAGAGUUGUUUAGCAUUACAGCUAAUGCUGUCAGCAAAAGUAUGUCUAAAACUAUGUUUGAUGAAGAGGGUCAUGAUGGCCUAUCAUGAAUUAAGUCCAGAAAGUUAAAAGGUGAAAUGAAACCUAUAACUGCAUAAUUUAAAAUUCCUAGCUACAGGCUUCACUUUAUCUGGGUUUAGUGCAUUUUCCUGAAUGAACAGUAUUAUCUGGAUAGAGAAAAAUAAACCUUUUUUUUUUUAAAUUUUUCUUUUAUUGUCUUUUUUAGUCUUUUCAGGCAUGCAGAGACACUAGCUCAAUCGGUUAAUUUUUACCAAAUGGAACAAAUGCACACUAAGUUACCUUGCGACUGUUUCACUUCUUUAGAGAAUGUGUCUAUGCAAGUUUUGCCUUUUUAAUGUAUUGUUCAUCUAUAAGAAAGAUAGGCUUUUAUAUUUAGCUAUUAUUAUUAUUAUUAUUGUUAGUUUUCUUCUUUUUUACACACUCAGGAGUGGAAAUGUCAGCUUUUUCUAUAAGUGAGAUUUUAAAAACACAUUUGUGUCCAUAUCUAGCUUUAGUAUGCUUAUUAAACAAACUUAAUUUUUAUAUACACAUGAAGAAAUAGGUAAACAUUUUCAAGGUGUGGCUUUUUUUUGACAAACAAAAAAUUAUGGUAUGUAACUUAUUCCAAAAUAAAUAUAAAUUAAUGAGUGGAAAGUGAACUGAAAAAUUGGUCCACUGUAGCAUUUUUAUUUAGAAAUAGAGCCUGUUAUUGUAAAACCAUGCAAUGUAUGUACUGUAUGAUCUACCAAUAAGAGAGUAACAAGAGUAUAAUAUGAAAAACACACAUUUAUCAGACUUUGUGACACAGUUGGGAAAAUAAAACAGUAUGACAGAUGAACUAUAAGCAUAACUGUUACUGUUCAUAAACUAUUUUAAUAAGAGAAAAAGAAAUUUCACUGGGAAGAAUAUACUAACUGAAAAUACGGUUAAUUUCAUUAAUAAUUAAAAUAUUAAUAAUUUCAUUUUUGGGGGUUUUUUUUUGGGCUUUUUGGUUUUGUUUUUUUCUUUCCUGAUAAAUAGUUCAUAUGUUCCUUGAAAUCUGUGGAAACUUUAUAUGAACAACUUUAACUCCUGUUUAGAAAUGGACUUGAAAUUUUUAUAAA